CCCAUGGUCAGGGAGGCGCCAUCGCCCUGGCUUUGGGGCUGGGGCCUCAGGGGAGGUUCCGGUAGGGGCCUUGGAGAGGCUGCUCUUUUUGCAAGGCCCGACACGGCGGGCCCUGCGCAGGCCACCCUAUUCCCCGCCCUCAGGGCGUCAGUAUCCGCCUGAGGCCGGAUACCCCCGCUGGGCCCAGAUGCUCCCUCUGGGCCCGGAGCAUCCUCGGCGCUGCCCUCCCAGAGCCCCGCAGAGGCUGAAGUGGCGCGGGGUAGGGGGGCCCGGCUCCGCGAGAAGCGGCGGCAGCGAGGGCUGGAGGACCCGGGCUCCCGGGCUCCGGGUCUCCGGGGCUCCGGGGGGUCUGGCCUGGGUGGGACUGAGCCCAUCCAGGAACUGGGACUCCGGGGUUCUGGUGUGGGUGGAUCCGGGGCAGGCUCAGGACCAAGUCCCUCUCCUUCCACCAAGAAGCGCCCAGAGGCCGGCGGGAGCUCCAGGUUCACCUCCUCCUCCUCCAGGGACGACUUGAGAAGGCAUCCUGAGCCUAUGCAGAAAUGCAGAAGCACUUCCAUGAUCUAAACAACCUAUGUGAAGGCCUGAAAGCCAAAGCAAGAUCCUCUUAUUACAAAGCUGUCCAACAAAAAGUUUUCCAAGUAACACUGGAGGUCCAUCAGUCACUCUUCCUGGUCUUGAAAUGCCAGAAAUGUCCUCCUUGAUCCUUCUGAGAGUCAAGAUCUUUUCAAAAUCACCUCAGGAGACACAGAACCACUCCAUCCUACCUGAAGUUGCAGGAUGACUCUUCUUUUGACCAGAGUCUCACAAAUAUAUUCGUUGAUAGUUUUGAUUCCUGGGAGCCGCCAUUGCUUGCAAAAGAUGUGCCACAGACUAGACAUUUUCUGUCUCCUUACUUGUCCGGGGAAGACUGAAGUUUUACUGAAACACAGAGAUGGGAAUCUAACCCUCUGAACAGCCUCAGGAUUUUCUAAGUCUUCCAAGCGGAGUGUAAAUACGGGAAAACCCACUUCCAACUGGAUGUCUGGAUGAACUACUGAAAGCUGCUGAGUGUCCUGCAGCAGGUGAGCUGUGGCCAGAGCCCAAGAAUGAAGGGGGCUCCCUCAGUCUGUGACUGUGAAGAGGAAGCCUGAGGUUUAGCAGGCUCAGGCCCCAGAAGUAUGGAAAAAAUGAGGCCAGUUAUCCAGGCAGUGACUUUCAGUACAGCUACAGUCACCUCUGGACACCUGCAGAGACUUUAAAAAUUUCCAGAAGGUCAGGAAUUUUUGGAGACCUUUCUCAUGGCUACGUUGCCUGCAAAGGUGAAUUAAUAAGCUUCUGAACUGACUUAGAAAAUGUUUCAGAGACUCUGGUGGGCAGAUAGACCCUCUCCUGCCACUCCGGAUAGAUGUAUCUGCGUCACACACACCUGAUUUAACAACAUCUUAUUAUCUCAGGCACCAAUUUGAUCUUCUACUACUUUACAGACAUCUCUUCUGCAAACACCAGACAAAUUGAGACAAUGACCUUCAGCAGCACCCAAACCACCUCUUACUGCAGGAAAGAAGAUCCAGUGAGACAGUUAGUCCACAAUUGGAAUGUAAAUCCAUAAACACUCUUAAGUAAUAGAA
rnacentral:antisense_RNA from 1 species